rfam:Brachypodium distachyon strain Bd21 chromosome 5, whole genome shotgun sequence.
CAAGCACUUCCUCCGGCCAACAAAAUAUGUCUCAAGUUUCUCAAAAUUUAGAUGUAUUUAAACAUAAUUUAGUAUAUAAUACAUUUAAAUUUAGUUAAAGUUGAGACAUAUUUCGUUGGACGGAGAGAGCAGUAU